GCCAGGCGCAGUGGCAUGUGCCUGUAGUCUCAGCUACUGGGGAGGCUGAGGUGGGAGGAUCGCUUAAGCCCAGGAGUUCUGGGCUGUAGUGCGCUAUGCCGAUCAGUUGUCCAAACUAAGUUCGGCAUCAAUAUGGCAACCUCCCGGGAGCAGGGGACCACCAGGUUGCCUAAGGAGGGGUGAAACGGAGCAGGUCAAAACUCCCAUGCUGAUCAGUAGUGGGAUCCUGCCUGUGAAUAGCAACUGCACUCCAGCCUGGACAACAUUGUGAGACCCCCUCUCUA
ensembl:misc_RNA Metazoa_SRP Metazoan signal recognition particle RNA